rnacentral:tRNA from 1 species
GGGGUUGUAGCUCAGUGGUAGAACACUCACCUAGCAUGUGUGAGGCACUGAGUUCGAUCCUCAGCACCA